AGAAGAAGAAGAAGAAGAAGAUGCUAUUGGGCAAGAUGGAGGAACUGAAGAGGAAAAUCAUGACACCGGAGAGCUUUCCAAGCGGGCAAAACGCAUGUCCCUUGAGAUUGGACCCAGUAGCUUUGCCUCAAGGAAGAAAAAGAAGAAGACCAGUGCUACAUGAUAUUUUUCCUCUGAAAAAGCAUUACAAAUUUUGUUAUCAUCUUGGGUUUAGUUGUAUACUG
rnacentral:misc_RNA from 1 species